rnacentral:rRNA from 1 species
GGGACCUCAGGUCAGGCGGGCUACCCGUGAGUUUAAGCAUA